rnacentral:rRNA from 1 species
GGAUUAGAUACCCUGGUAGUCCACGCCGUAAACGUUGAAUGCUAGCUGCUGGGGCCAUUACCGCUUCAGUGGCGAAGUUAACGCAUUAAGCAUUCCGCCUGGGGAGUACGGUCGCAAGACUAAAACUCAAAGGAAUUGACGGGGGCCCGCACAAGCGGUGGAGCAUGUGGUUUAGUUCGAAGCAACGCGCAGAACCUUACCCAGGCUUGACAUCCCGAGAACUUGGUGGAAACACCUUGGUGCCAUCGAAAGAUGGAAUUCGGUGACAGGUGCUGCAUGGCUGCCGUCAGCUCGUGCCG